GAUGAACGCUAGCGGCAGGCCUAACACAUGCAAGUCGAGGGGCAGCACGUCUUCGGAUGGUGGCGACCGGCGCACGGGUGCGUAACGCGUAUGCAACCUACCUCUUACAGUGGGAUAGCCCAGAGAAAUUUGGAUUAAUACCGCAUAGUAUACAGAUUCAGCAUUGGGACUGUAUUAAACAUUUAUGGGUAAGAGAUGGGCAUGCGUUCUAUUAGUUAGUUGGAGUGGUAACGGCACCCCAAGACAGCGAUAGAUAGGGGCCCUGAGAGGGGGAUCCCCCACACUGGUACUGAGACACGGACCAGACUCCUACGGGAGGCAGCAGUGAGGAAUAUUGGACAAUGGGCGAGAGCCUGAUCCAGCCAUGCCGCGUGCAGGAAGAC
rnacentral:rRNA from 1 species